UGAGACUAAAAGUGAAUAUGACAAAAUAGUAGUAGUAGUAGUAUGAGAGCAUGCGCUGUAACAGUGUGUCACUGCAUCCACCAUUUGUUGUUGAUCCCUACUAUUCCUGGCUGAUAACGCCUUUUCGCCACUCAGGCAACAACC